AAAAUGCGAUACGUCAUGUGAAUUGCAGAGCACGGCGAAUCAUCGAAUCUUUGAACGCAAAUUGCGCCCCGGAAGCCGAGGUUUUCGGGGCACGUCUUUUUGAGUGCCCGCACCGACGUUAGACUCGUCGUCCCCUCCGAUCGCCGGAGGUCGGAUCGACGCAUCGGGAUUCCGGACAGAGGGCGCGCGGUCGCCGAUCGAUCCGGUCUCCCAAAGCGAAUGGAAGACGUCGCCUCGACGACGGGACCCGAUGCCGCUCGUUCGGCGUCGGGGCGUUUCGAGAACCGAACGAGACGAACGAACGUCGUCCACGUUCUCGACCUCGUCGUCAACGGACGCUCUUCCCCCGAGGAAAGGCCUUCGUUGGCUCGCACAAAUUUCGGCCUCAAAUAAGACGGGAUUACCCGCUGAAUUUAA
rnacentral:misc_RNA from 1 species